ACCUGCGGAGGAUCAUUACAAGUGAGGCUACCGAACGUUGGAAACAGCGGUUAGGAGCUUACACCCACCCGUGUUUACAUACUAUUGUUGCUUUGGCGGGCCGUGGCCUCCACUGCGGGCUCUGCUCGUGUGUGCCCGCCAGAGAACCAAACUCUGAAUGUUAGUGAUGUCUGAGUACUAUCUAAUAGUUAAAACUUUCAACAACGGAUCUCUUGGUUCUGGCAUCGAUGAAGAACGCAGCGAAAUGCGAUAAGUAAUGUGAAUUGCAGAAUUCAGUGAAUCAUCGAAUCUUUGAACGCACAUUGCGCCCUGUGGUAUUCCGCAGGGCAUGCCUGUUCGAGCGUCAUUUAACCACUCACGCCUAGCGUGGUAUUGGGGCACGCGGUCUCCGCGGCCCUCAAAAUUAGUGGCGGCGCCGGUGGGCUCUAAGCGUAGUACAUACUCCCGCUAUAGAGUUCCCCCGGUGGCUCGCCAGAACCCCCAAUUUUUACAGGUUGACCUCGGAUCAGGUAGGGAUACCCGCUGAACUUAAGCAUAUCAAUAAGCGGAGGAAAAGAAACCAACAGGGAUUACCUCAGUAACGGCGAGUGAAGCGGUAACAGCUCAAAUUUGAAAGCUGCCAACAGGCCGCGUUGUAAUUUGUAGAAGCUGCUUUGGGUGUCGGCCCGGUCUAAGUUCCUUGGAACAGGACGUCAUAGAGGGUGAGAAUCCCGUAUGUGAUCGGUGCCGUUGCCCGUGUAAAGCGCUUUCGACGAGUCGAGUUGUUUGGGAAUGCAGCUCAAAAUGGGUGGUAAAUUUCAUCUAAAGCUAAAUAUUGGCCAGAGACCGAUAGCGCACAAGUAGAGUGAUCGAAAGAUGAAAAGCACUUUGGAAAGAGAGUUAAACAGUACGUGAAAUUGUUGAAAGGGAAGCGCUUGCAACCAGACUUGCGGGCGGUCGAUCAUCCGAGGUUCUCCCCGGUGCACUCGAUCGUUCUCAGGCCAGCAUCGGUUUCCGGGGUGGGAUAAAGGCGGUGGGAAUGUGGCUCUUCGGAGUGUUAUAGCCCACCGUGCAAUGCCGCCACUGGGGACCGAGGACCGCGCUUCGGCUAGGA
rnacentral:rRNA from 1 species